UACGAAGGGGGCUAGCGUUGCUCGGAAUCACUGGGCGUAAAGGGUGCGUAGGCGGGUCUUUAAGUCAGGGGUGAAAUCCUGGAGCUCAACUCCAGAACUGCCUUUGAUACUGAGGAUCUUGAGUCCGGGAGAGGUGAGUGGAACUGCGAGUGUAGAGGUGAAAUUCGUAGAUAUUCGCAAGGACACCAGUGGCGAAGGCGGCUCACUGGCCCGGUACUGACGCUGAGGCACGAAAGCGUGGGGAGCAAACAGG
rnacentral:rRNA from 1 species